rnacentral:ncRNA from 14 species
UAAAAUUGCUAGGGGCGCCUUUUGGCUGAGAUAGUUUGACUAGACCCUUAUAACCUGAUUUGGUUCGUACCAACGUAGGAAAGUAGUAUAUUCAGAAU